rnacentral:rRNA from 1 species
GACGAACGCUGGCGGCGUGCUUAACACAUGCAAGUCGAACGGGCCUUGUCCCCUUUUUUUUUGGGGGUGGGGUUAGUGGCGAACGGGUGAGUAACACGUGAGUAACCUGCCCCUCACUUCUGGAUAACCGCUUGAAAGGGUGGCUAAUACGGGGUGUUCUGGCCUGCUCGCAUGGGUGGGUUUGGAAAGAUUCGACCGGUUUGGUUGUUUUGGUGGGGGAUGGGCUCGCGGCCUAUCAGCUUGUUGGUGGGGUGAUGGCCUGCCAAGGCUUUGUCGGGUAGCCGGCCUGAGAGGGUGGGCGGGCACACUGGGACUGAGACACGGCCCAGACUCCUACGGGAGGCAGCAGUGGGGAAUAUGGCACAAUGGGCGCAAGCCUGAUGCAGCGACGCCGCGUGAGGGAUGGAGGCCGUCGGGUUGUGAACCUCUUUCGCCAGUGAAGAAGGUCCUGCUCUUUGUGGUGGGGUUGACGGUAGCUGGGUUAAUGAAGCGCCGGCUAACUACGUG